GAGGCAGAUGAUUGGUGGCUCAGCUGGUGAUGCUCUGCUAAAUUGAUGGUUGACUCAGCCAUGAUUUGGGUGGCAAAAUUUUGGUCUUCAUGGCAAAGAAGAAGAGAGGAAGUUGUGGGAGGAAGUUUUCCUGAAACAUGGCAAAUUUGCUGUGACUGAAAUUUGGCCCUGUGAUAUCCUGAGUGAUGCUAGCAGAUCCUGCCUUUUU
rnacentral:misc_RNA from 1 species